GAAAUGCGAUAAUUAAUGUGAAUUGCAGAAUUCAGUGAAUCAUCGAGUCUUUGAACGCACAUUGCGCCCCCUGGUAUUCCGGGGGGCAUGCCUGUCCGAGCGUCAUUGCUGCCCUCAAGCACGGCUCGUGUGUUGGGCUUCCGUCCCUGGCAACGGGGACGGGCCCAAAAGGCAGUGGCGGCACCAUGUCUGGUCCUCGAGCGUAUGGGGCUUUGUCACCCGCUCCCGUAGGUCCAGCUGGCAGCUAGCCUCGCAACCAAUCUUUUUAACCAGGUUGACCUCGGAUCAGGUAGGGAUACCCGCUGAACUUAAGC
rnacentral:misc_RNA from 1 species